AAACACUCAAAUCGGCUUCAAUUUCUAUGAAAUUAGUACCCUUGGAAGCUCAACUUAUGAAUCUUGUUUAUCUCAAAAUUAUAGAAUAAUCCAAUUAUAAAGCAUUGAGUAUUGCCUUUUCAAAAUUGAGUAACCCAAACUGCCAAGGCAGCCAACCCCCUCGCACUCAACAAUUCACCAAAACUUUGUUCUAACUCCAAAUGAAGCAAGCCUUAAAUCUUUGGAAAGCUAACAACAAGAGGUAUGUGCUCAAAAAAAUAUAAUUUCAAAAUCAUAAAAUCCAUAGACUGAUUGAGGAAAAUCCGAGGCCCUUCAAACCUCUUUGACUA
rnacentral:lncRNA from 1 species